rnacentral:rRNA from 1 species
GACGAACGCUGGCGGCGUGCUUAACACAUGCAAGUCGAACGGAAAGGCCCUGCUUUUGUGGGGUGCUCGAGUGGCGAACGGGUGAGUAACACGUGAGUAACCUGCCCUUGACUUUGGGAUAACUUCAGGAAACUGGGGCUAAUACCGGAUAGGAGCUCCUGCUGCAUGGUGGGGGUUGGAAAGUUUCGGCGGUUGGGGAUGGACUCGCGGCUUAUCGGCUUGUUGGUGGGGUAGGGGCUUACCAAGGCUUUGACGGGUAGCCGGCCUGAGAGGGUGACCGGCCACAUUGGGACUGAGAUACGGACCAGACUCCAACGGGAGGCAGCAGUGGAGAAUAUUGCACAAUGGGCGGAAGCCUGAUGCAGCAACGCCGCGUGCGGGAUGACGGCCUUCGGGUUGUAAACCGCUUUCGCCUGUGACGAAGCGUGAGUGACGGUAAUGGGUAAAGAAGCACCGGCUAACUACGUG